CUGAGGUCAUCCAGCUACAUGCAAACUCCUAUAGAAAAUCAUUGAUUCAAUGCUUUUCCAAUGUGUGUGCUGCAUAUGCACAUUUGCCCCUCCCCCUUUCAUGCUGACAUUGGAAGAGGUGGAGACAGAGCCAAUGCAGAGGAAUGUUGGUACUGAAAUAAGGUAAGUGGGUAAAGGGUUUUUAACCCUUUCAUUGUGUAUGUGUGUUGGAGGUGAGGGGGGCACAAGACAUUGUAGUGUUAGCUUUGAAGAACUAUGGACUAAAAGCUUUUUUUAUUGUGCUAUGUGCAGUAUGGUAAAACGUGCUGCAGGCACUCUCCAGGUAUUAUUAAAGUACAUAUCACAUGAUCCUGAGCACACACGUCACUAAAUAUGAUUUGGUGGUGGAAUGUUGAAUAUUUAGUUAAAUUACAGCUGGACUGAUACAUAUGGUGCAUUAAUGGUGAUCCUGCCUUUGAACUCACAUUGUACUUCUGAUACAUAAUUCCUGUUAAUGAGAGAUAUAGUUAUGUGUUUAUUAAUAUAGCAUGUUUGGAAUAGUGUGUGUGCACUAGAAGUCUUUUAUGGCACUAUGUUUUCAGGCAUUUGCAUCAGGCUGCUACAUCAGACUGAGCCUUUCCAGACUCCCUAUGAUGCAAAGCCAGAUGCGGUGAAAAGCACUUUACACAAAAUAAAGGUUUAAUUUCAAUCUUUAAUUUACAAUAUUUUAGUUUGAUUUGAACACUAUAAAUCACUGCUUCCGCAUAACUUUAUAUAGCACACAAUGUCUUGACCAAGUAUUCAGAAUCUGGCCAGUUAUCUCAACCCACUGUCAGGAUUAUUCACUAUAGGAAAAAUUGCUGCAAAUUGUGAAUUCAAGAUGAAUUUGAAGUUAAAGGCCAAAUAACCAAAUCGGACAAAUUCACCUAUGCAUCCAAUUCAGCUACUUUGACCUUAAAUUUGAAAUUCACUUCUGAAUUCCCAGCAAAUCUUACUCUAGUGAAUAAGCAUGUGAAUGGAAAAUAGUAAACAGAAAU